GAAAUGCGAUAAUUAAUGUGAAUUGCAGAAUUCAGUGAAUCAUCGAGUCUUUGAACGCACAUUGCGCCCCCUGGUAUUCCGGGGGGCAUGCCUGUCCGAGCGUCAUUGCUGCCCUCAAGCACGGCUUGUGUGUUGGUCUUCCGUCCCUGGCAACGGGGACGGGCCCAAAAGGCAGUGGCGGCACCAUGUCUGGUCCUCGAGCGUAUGGGGCUUUGUCACCCGCUCCCGUAGGUCCAUCUGGCAGCUAGCCUCGCAACCAAUCUUUUUAACCAGGUUGACCUCGGAUCAGGUAGGGAUACCCGCUGAACUUAAGC
rnacentral:misc_RNA from 1 species